rnacentral:rRNA from 1 species
AUUGAACGCUGGCGGCAGGCUUAACACAUGCAAGUCGAGCGCGGGAAGGUAGCUUGCUACUGGACCUAGCGGCGGACGGGUGAGUAAUGCUUAGGAAUCUGCCUAUUAGUGGGGGACAACAUCUCGAAAGGGAUGCUAAUACCGCAUACGUCCUACGGGAGAAAGCAGGGGAUCUUCGGACCUUGCGCUAAUAGAUGAGCCUCAGUCGGAUUAGCUAGUUGGUGGGGUAAAGGCCUACCAAGGCGACGAUCUGUAGCGGGUCUUAGAGGAUGAGACGCCACACUGGGACUGAGACACGGACCAGACGCCUACGGGAGGCAGCAGUGGGGAAUAUUGGACAAUGGGGGGAACCCUGAUCCAGCCAUGCCGCGUGUGUGAAGAAGGCCUUAUGGUUGUAAAGCACUUUAAGCGAGGAGGAGGCUACUUUAGUUAAUACCUAGAGAUAGUGGACGUUACUCGCAGAAUAAGCACCGGCUAACUCUGUGCCAGCCGCCGCCGUAA